CAAAGAAUUUAGUUUAUCUUGAUUUUGUGUUGAUAUUUGCAAAGAUUUGAUCCGUUCCAUCGCUGAAAAUGACCUUACAACUGAACAAGAAAGAAACCCAAUUAUCGAACGUUCGGUAUCAGAAAAUGCGUAUCUAAAAGUAUUUAUAAGAGCUUGUUGUAGCGCUCCCGACUGCUGCGUAAAAUCGUGGUCACCCCGCCUUACCGCACCCGGCUAUACCUGCUAUACUAGAUACGAGCUAGGUAAUCGAAAUCCUGAGGGCUUUUGUCAAUGUAUUGCAUACCUAUAUGAUCUUCCGAUUAUUACCAAUUGUUUUAAAACCAUAAUACCGAUGAUGGAGUAUAAUUACAGAUGAGUAUAUUAUAUAUACAAUUAAAAGAAACUUAUAUUAU